rnacentral:rRNA from 1 species
GACGAACGCUGGCGGCGUGCUUAACACAUGCAAGUCGAACGGAAAGGCCCUGCUUUUGUGGGGUGCUCGAGUGGCGAACGGGUGAGUAACACGUGAGUAACCUGCCCUUGACUUUGGGAUAACUUCAGGAAACUGGGGCUAAUACCGGAUAGGAGCUCCUGCUGCAUGGUGGGGGUUGGAAAGUUUCGGCGGUUGGGGAUGGACUCGCGGGUUAUCAGCUUGUUGGUGGGGUAGUGGCUUACCAAGGCUUUGACGGGUAGCCGGCCUGAGAGGGUGACCGGCCACAUUGGGACUGAGGUACGGCCCAGACUCCUACGGGAGGCAGCAGUGGGGAAUAUUGCCCAAUGGGCGGAAGCCUGAUGAAGCAACGCCGCGUGCGGGAUGACGGCCUUCGGGUUGUAAACCGCUUUCGCCUGUGACGAAGCGUGAGUGACGGUAAUGGGUAAAGAAGCACCGGCUAACUACGUG